rnacentral:tRNA from 1 species
GACUCAUUAGCUCAGUUGGUAGAGCAACAGACUGUUAAUCUGGAGGUCGCCAGUUCAAAUCUGGUAUGAGUCG